GGGAGUUUGGUCUAGUGGUAUGAUUCUCGCUUCGGGUGCGAGAGGCCGCGAGUUCUGAUUCUUGCAACUCCCC
rnacentral:tRNA from 1 species